rnacentral:rRNA from 1 species
GACGUAGGGUGCAAGCGUUGUCCGGAAUUAUUGGGCGUAAAGAGCUCGUAGGCGGCUUGUCACGUCGGGUGUGAAAGCCCGGGGCUUAACCCCGGGUCUGCAUUCGAUACGGGCUAGCUAGAGUGUGGUAGGGGAGAUCGGAAUUCCUGGUGUAGCGGUGAAAUGCGCAGAUAUCAGGAGGAACACCGGUGGCGAAGGCGGAUCUCUGGGCCAUUACUGACGCUGAGGAGCGAAAGCGUGGGGAGCGAACGGG